GGGUGAAAACCGGAGUGGGGGUGGGAACGAGAUAAAAAACGGGGCAGGAGCGAUUCGGAAGAAGACUGUCCCCUUACCUACCUACGGCGACAGCCUCGCCUGUCCCCGUCCCCCUGAGAAACCUGCUCUCCCUGUCUACCCGCAUAGCCUCAAGAAAUGGCUCGCUUGGGUCAGACGCCCCCUUUUUAACAUUCCAGGGCCAGGGCAGGAGUCAUCAUGGAGGCUUUUCAUGCCUGAAAGACCCCAUUUCUUAGUUGUCCGGUCCCCAGUAGUAUCAGUGGCUUGGGGAUUUCUUACUGAGCUCAGCUCAUUGUCCCCAAAAUGCCUCCCCUUACCCCCAACUCGAGCGCUUCCCUUUCCUGCUUUGGGCCCAAGCUCUUCCCGCGGUUCUUGGUGUCAGCUUCAUUCAAGUCACUCUCCCGCCUCUCAUUCCUUUCUCCCCGCCUUUCUUCGCUUCCCUCCAAGUGCCCUCUCCAUUUGCCGGUCACUGGUCCCAGAGCUCCGGAUCGCAGUGGUUCCAUUUUAAAUUUCUUUGCUUCCUAACGCAACCUAUGUUUUCUACGGUAACUGAGGUUCCCGUGUUCUUUUUCACCAUGGUCUCUCCGUUUUAAUGUUUCGGGUUUUUUUACCCAGGCCCCUGUUUUAUGAGCCCUGGGUACGUCCUUCCUGUGUCCCGUUUGGCCUCCUGGGUUACACUCCUGUUCACCCCGCUUGGCCGGUUUUUUUUUUUCUUUUCUUUGAACCUGCCGGUUUCUCAGUCUCCCCCUUUUCCGCUGGCUACCUGUCCCUUUCUCGCCGCCCAUGUUAACUUUAGCAUGCCCCGUUCUCUCUCUUCAUUUUCCACUGGGUAUUUUUUAUGUUUCCCAAUUUUAAAAACGGCCCAGCGCACCCCUUUUUUUGGGACUCCACUUUUAUCUCUGGCACCAGUGUCGGCCUCCUCCACCUCUGCUCCCAUUUAAUCGCUAAUUUCCUGCCUCCUGAGGACCCCCGUUUUAUUGUCCAGGCUCCCCCCUCCCAUUUUUCUCUUCUCUAAUUUUCUGAGUCUCCAUUUUUUGUCUCCCAAAUUCCUUCGAUUCCUGGAGUCUUACAGGCCUCGUUUUUAUGUACACGUCAUGGAAAAGAAUAAAAGGGUAAGGUCGCGGGGCGCGAUGGCUCAUGCCUGUAAUCCCAGCACUUUGGGAGGCCAAGGCGGGCAGAUCACCUGAGGUCAGGAGUUCGAGACCAGCCUGGCCGAUAUGGCCAAACCCAAUCUCUACUAAAAAUACAAAAAUUAGCUGGGUGUGGUGGCGGGCACCUGUAAACCCGGCUACUCGGGAGACUGAGGCAGGAGAAUCACUUGAACCCAGGAGGUGGAGGUUGCAGUGAGCUGAGAUCUUGCCAUUGCACACCAGCCUGGGUGAUGGAGGCUCCGUCUGGAGGAAAAAAAAAAAAAAAAAACAAAAAAGGCGGGGCUGAGGUGAGAAGAAUAUUGUUACCAAUUUUUAAAAAGCUAGUAAAAAAAAUUUUUUUUGGCAAGUUCGUUUUUCCAAGUCUUUCAAUUUACUAACCAGGUCUCAAUCAAGAUCACAAAAGCACUUACUUAAAAAUAGCUUUAUUCCAUUAUCUUUUAAAAAAGGCAUAUGAUAACCUCAGAACUAAUUUCUCCCAACCUCCCCCCACCACAUCUUAAAAUGUAAAUAAUGGAGAAGGAGCUGCUUAUUUUUCUUUGCAGCAGUUCCUGGCCAGUCCCAACGUGAGAAAUAUCAGUUGGCACUUAUUGCAUCAUAAUACAUUUUGCCUAGUAAGGAUGAUUUUCUAAGUCUCAGUGCAUGGGUUAUUGCAAUUUUCCAUCUUGUGUUUUCCUGCGGCAAUUAUGGGGCUUGUAUGUGCUUGUGAGAAUUGGGGCUAAUAUCAAAGCCACAGAAUUGUGGAGGCCCCCUUCCCAGGCUCCACCAGGGUUUGAGAAAAACAAGAAAAAAGUCAGUUGCAAUGGACCUGAAGUGUGUAUCUUCCUGGUCCUGAUAAAUAGAUCUCAUGGUCUCUAAGUUAACAAUACAUGCAGAUAAGAUUUUUUUUAAAGCACAGUGUAACAACUUGGACUUUGCCACACAAACUGUAAUCCACUGUCAACAAGCUUGUGGAUUUGGGCAUGGAUCGUCUUAAAGAAGCCCGAAUUCUUCAAAAAAUCCUUAAAACUUGAAGACCUGGAUUUUACCUGACCCAGGAUAUUACUGUGCACACAGGACUCAGAUAUGUGACAGCAGUCACAGCUCAGCUGGUCAAAGGUUUAUAGUGUUUGACACCAGGACCAUGAAGCUCCCAUUUGGUAGUGGAAAAACCCUCAAAUAUUUCCUAUCAACAGAUGUGUGUGCUAGAGAAGAGGAAGUUGUGGAAAAUAUCCCAGUGAUCCUACAAAACAUUCUCUGUGUUCCUAGCUAGGGUUUUUUUUUUUUUUCACCUCAACAGUUUUUGUGUUUUCUUUUUUUAAUCUUGUUGCCUCUGAGUAGUAGACUCUUCAAUUCUGGAAUUUGGUUGCCGAAGACUCUAAAGGAGAGACUCACUCAGUAAUUCAGUGACUUUAGAAGCAAGCUGAGUAUCUCAUUCUAAAAUGACACUGAUUUACACUGUUGAGAAUGGUUAAGUACGUGGGGUACCUUGCAGCAAAAGACAAAAAGCAAAAAGCCAGUAGACCUGCAAUUCACAGCUAUUCCUGAGGGGUGCACAUUGCAGCCCACUCUUGAGCUCCCCAGUGUUCUGAGCAGGGGACAGGGCAUACUUCUAGUGAUUUGCUCAGUUUAAUCCCUUCAUCCAAGAAAACAGACCUUCCCCAACCACACCUGCAGGGUUACUUCAGACAACCAGCUUCUCAUUUUAGAGUCCCAGUUCCUAGAAUUGGAGAAAGGAAGUUCCCCUUUAAGCCCUAGGUCCUGCCCACUAGAGCAGAUACGCAACAUUAAAGAGUGCAAAUUCAAGUCAGUUUUUCAUAUUUAGCAAACAUCCAUUGCACCCUUAUAAGGUCCUCGACUUUAAGAAAUUUAUAUGAAAUCGGAAAACUUAAAUCUUGAAACUAUACAAGGAUCUACUGGAAGCAUCAGCAGGCUAAACUCAUCACAUGGUAUUUUCAUUCCAAAUUUAGUGUUAUUGAUCAGUGUACCCUCAGAAUAUCCUUAAGAAGCAGGAAGGAAACAAGUUUUCCUCUUCCCACUUCCAAGACUGAGAAAGAGUCCAGAUGAGCUGGUUUGCCCAAGCAAUUCUUAUCACCAGAUACUCCGUUAUUAAACGUGUCUCCUGCCUUCUUUGAAAGCAACAGGAGAAAUGAAGCAUAGGAAAGUCUGCAAGCUAACAGUGUAUCACCUAGGAGGCUUGUAUAUAAAUAUGAAGCUCUGCAAAAUGUAGUUAUAAUGAAAGGCACUUCCUAUUACCAGCUCCCUAACUCUUUUUAAAAGAAUUCUAUCUCCAGGGAAAUAAAACUGGUUAAGACAGUGCUCUGAUAUGCUUAGUUUAGUUCCUUCAUCCAAGAAAACAGACCUUCCCCAACCACACCUGCAGGGUUACUUCAGACAACCAGCUUCUCAUUUUAGAGUCCCAGUUCUUAGAAAUGGAGAAAGGAAGUUCCCCUUUAAGCCCUAGGUCCUGCCCACUAGAGCAGAUACGCAACUUUAAAGAGUACAAAUUCAAGUCAGAUUUUCAUAUUUAGCAGGUGAUCUUACAAAGAUAUUUUUCAAUAAAUGGAUUAUGUUUUUCAAUGAAUGGAUCUUACAAAGAUGUUUUUCA
rnacentral:lncRNA from 1 species